AAUUUUUAAAAAUUAUAUUGGCAAGCCAUGGGCAGUAGCUGGGAAGGGGUGUCUGGCUACCGCUUUUGUGAGCCAAGUUUUAUUGGAACCAAAGCAGGGUAACAAUAGUGCAUGGGUGGAUCAUGAUUUUAUUUAGUUUGGAUACUUUGUUCACCGUGGAUUUUUCAUGUAAUAACUUUUUGUUUUGUUUUUUGAAGCAGAUCUCCAUAUGUAGCCCAGGCAGGCGUCAAACUCAUGGUGAUCCUCCUGCCUCAGCCUCCCGAGCGCUGGGAUGACAGUGGCACACUCCUCCAGGGUAGAUGGAGGAGCUCCCUGGAGCACCCGGAGGGGGAGCAGGCUGAAGCCCCCACCACGCUGGAGCGAGAGGAGGACUCUGCUCCUGGCAGCGUUGUUGACUUGGCCCGCAGAGGGCGGUGCUGUGUGCGAAGCCUGACUCAGAGCCUCAGGGGCACCCCAACAAGAGAAGCACCAGUUUCCAUAGCUGCCCCUUUCGGGUCCCCGUCCGGACCUGUCCUGAUUUACGCUCUGGCAGUAGUAAGCUUCCAUUGAAGAAUGGCAUUUGUAGAGAAAGGCACACAAAUCACAAUUGUGCAGCUCGGCGAGUUUUCACACAGUGGACUCACAGCCCAGGGAGCGGAGCUCGAGCAGCUCCACGGAAGUCAGCCUCAAGCCUUUCCUUGCCCUGCCUCACCACCUGCCCCAGAGAACACUGCCAUGUUGAUUU